UACGUAGGGGGCAAGCGUUAUCCGGAUUUACUGGGUGUAAAGGGAGCGUAGACGGCGUGGCAAGUCUGAUGUGAAAGGCAUGGGCUCAACCUGUGGACUGCAUUGGAAACUGCCAUACUUGAGUGCCGGAGGGGUAAGCGGAAUUCCUAGUGUAGCGGUGAAAUGCGUAGAUAUUAGGAGGAACACCAGUGGCGAAGGCGGCUUACUGGACGGUAACUGACGUUGAGGCUCGAAAGCGUGGGGAGCAAACAGG
rnacentral:rRNA from 1 species